rfam:Oryza glumipatula chromosome 2, whole genome shotgun sequence.
CACUUUUUUUCCUAAGUCAAACUUCUCUAAUUUUGACCGAGUUCAUAGGAAAAUGCACCAACAUCUGCAAUAACAAAUAAGUGCACUAUCAAGACAUAUUUCAUGGUGGAUUUAAUGAAACUAAUUUGAUGUUGUAAAUGUUGGUGCAUUUUUUUAUAAACUCUGACAAAGUUUGACUUAGGACAAAACUAAA